CCUACGGGUGGCUGCCGUGGGGAAUAUUGCACAAUGGGGGAAACCCUGAUGCAGCAACGCCGCGUGAAGGAAGACGGUUGUCGGAUUGUUAACCUCUGUUCUUAGGGAAGAAUAAUGACGCCAGCUAAGGAGUAAGACCUAGCUAACUACGUGCGAGCAGCCGCGGUAAUACGAAGGUGGCAAGCGUGGGCCGGAAUUACUGGGUGUAAAGGGAGCGCAGGCGGGAAGCCAAGUCAGCUGUGAAAGCUACAGGCCUAACUUGUAGACUGCAGUUGAAACUGGUUUUCUUGAGUGAAGUAGAGGUAGGCGGAAUUCCGGGUGUAGCGGUGAAAUGCGUAGAUAUUCGGAGGAACACCGAUGGCGAAGGCGGCCUACUGAGCUUUAACUGACGCUGAGGCUCGAAAGUGUGGGGAGCAAACAGGAUUAGAUACCCCUGUAGUC
rnacentral:rRNA from 1 species